rnacentral:rRNA from 1 species
CCUACGGGCGGCAGCAGUGGGGAAUAUUGGACAAUGGGGGGAACCCUGAUCCAGCCAUGCCGCGUGUGUGAAGAAGGCCCUCGGGUUGUAAAGCACUUUCAGUGAGGAAGAACGCCUGGUGGUUAAUACCCAUCAGGAAAGACAUCACUCACAGAAGAAGCACCGGCUAACUCCGUGCCAGCAGCCGCGGUAAUACGGAGGGUGCGAGCGUUAAUCGGAAUUACUGGGCGUAAAGCGCGCGUAGGUGGCUUGAUAAGCCGGUUGUGAAAGCCCCGGGCUCAACCUGGGAACGGCAUCCGGAACUGUCAAGCUAGAGGGCAGGAGAGGAAGGUAGAAUUCCCGGUGUAGCGGUGAAAUGCGUAGAGAUCGGGAGGAAUACCAGUGGCGAAGGCGGCCUUCUGGACUGACACUGACACUGAGGUGCGAAAGCGUGGGUAGCAAACAGGAUUAGAUACCCGUGUAGUC